rnacentral:rRNA from 1 species
GACGAAUGCUGGCUGCGUGCUUAACACAUGCAAGUCGAACGGUGAAGGGGAGCUUGCUCCCCGGAUCAGUGGCGAACGGGUGGGUAACACGUGGGCAACCUGCCCCUCACUCUGGGAUAACUCCGGGAAACCGGGGCUAAUACCGGAUACGACCGGGAGCGACAUCGCUCCUGGUGGAAAGAACUUCGGUGAGGGAUGGGCCCGCGGCCUAUCAGCUAGUUGGUGGGGUAACGGCCCACCAAGGCGACGACGGGUAGCCGGCCUGAGAGGGCGACCGGCCACACUGGGACUGAGACACGGCCCAAACUCCUACGGGAGGCAGCAGUGGGGAAUAUUGCGCAAUGGGCGAAAGCCUGACGCAGCGACGCAGCGUGAGGGACGAAGGCCUUCGGGUUGUAAACCUCUUUCAGCGGGGACGAAGCGAAAGUGACGGUACCCGCAGAAGAAGCACCGGCUAACUACGUGCCAGCCGCCGCCGUAA